rnacentral:misc_RNA from 1 species
GUGAACGCCAUCGGCCCGUCAUACCGACGAGUCGCAAACCAGCAAAUAUCCCAACCCAGCGGUACGGUGCCGUGGGAAGCCUCGCCGCUCACGGCGAGGAGGAGGUCACAUGUAGCCGUUC